rfam:Myotis davidii contig122743, whole genome shotgun sequence.
AGGCCUGAAGAGAGAGGCAGGGUCUGAUCCACAGUUUCCAUGGCAGCUGUUGAUCAGCUGUUGCCUCUCUCUUUCUCUCUG